AAUCUCAGCUCAGACUGCAGGCUGCAACUCGCCUGCACGAAGUCGGAAUUGCUAGUAAUCGUAGGUCAGCAUACUACGGUGAAUACGUUCCCGGGCCUUGUACACACCGCCCGUCAAACCAUGAGAGUUGGCAACACCCGAAGUCGGUAGUCUAACCGCAAGGAGGACGCCGCCGAAGGUGGGGUUGAUGAUUAGGGUUAAGUCGUAACAAGGUAUC
rnacentral:rRNA from 1 species